rnacentral:tRNA from 1 species
GCCACUAUAGCUCAGUAGGUAGAGCGCAUCCUUGGUAAGGAUGAGGUCACCGGUUCAAAUCCGGUUAGCGGCU